GACGAACGCUGGCGGCGUGCCUAAUACAUGCAAGUCGAACGAGAGCGACCGGUGCUUGCACUGGUCAAUCUAGUGGCGAACGGGUGAGUAACACGUGGGUAACCUGCCCAUCAGAGGGGGAUAACAUCCGGAAACGGGUGCUAAAACCGCAUAGGUCUUCGAGCCGCAUGGCUUGAAGAGGAAAAGCGGCGCAAGCUUCUGCUGAUGGAUGGACCCGCGGUGCAUUAGCUAGUUGGUAAGGUAACGGCUCACCAAGGACGCGAUGCAUAGCCGACCUGAGAGGGUGAUCGGCCACAUUGGGACUGAGACACGGCCCAAACUCCUACGGGAGGCAGCAGUAGGGAAUCUUCCGCAAUGGACGCAAGUCUGACGGAGCAACGCCGCGUGAGUGAAGAAGGUUUUCGGAUCGUAAAACUCUGUUGUUAGAGAAGAACAAGUGCUAGAGUAACUGUUAGCGCCUUGACGGUAUCUAAUCAGAAAGCCACGGCUAACUACGUG
rnacentral:rRNA from 1 species